AGGCUGUGAAGCGGAGCAAAUACUCAAAAACCGGUACCCAGUUCGGAUUGUAGGCUGCAACUCGCCUACAUGAAGUCGGAGUUGCUAGUAAUCGCGGAUCAGAAUGCCGCGGUGAAUGCGUUCCCGGGUCUUGUACACACCGCCCGUCACACCAUGAGAGUUGGGAAUACCCGAAGCCUGUGAGCUAACUGUAAGGAGGCAGCAGUCGAAGGUAGAAUCAAUGAUUGGGGUGAAGUCGUAACAAGGUAUC
rnacentral:rRNA from 1 species